UACGUAGGUGGCAAGCGUUGUCCGGAUUUAUUGGGUUUAAAGGGUGCGUAGGCGGUCUAUUAAGUCAGUGGUGAAAUACUCCAGCUUAACUGGAGGGGUGCCAUUGAUACUGAUGGACUUGAGUGAAGUCGAGGUAGGCGGAAUUGACGGUGUAGCGGUGAAAUGCUUAGAUAUCGUCAAGAACACCAAUAGUGAAGACAGCUUACUAGGCUUAUACUGACGCUGAGGCACGAAAGUGUGGGAUCAAACAGG
rnacentral:rRNA from 1 species